CCUACGGGUGGCUGCAGUGGGGAAUAUUGUACAAUGGGGGCAACCCUGAUCCAGCCAUGCCGCGUGUGUGAAGAAGGCCCUCGGGUUGUAAAGCACUUUCAGUGAGGAAGAACGCCUGGUAGUUAAUACCCAUCAGGAAAGACAUCACUCACAGAAGAAGCACCGGCUAACUCCGUGCCAGCAGCCGCGGUAAUACGGAGGGUGCGAGCGUUAAUCGGAAUUACUGGGCGUAAAGCGCGCGUAGGUGGCUUGAUAAGCCGGUUGUGAAAGCCCCGGGCUCAACCUGGGAACGGCAUCCGGAACUGUCAAGCUAGAGUGCAGGAGAGGAAGGUAGAAUUCCCGGUGUAGCGGUGAAAUGCGUAGAGAUCGGGAGGAAUACCAGUGGCGAAGGCGGCCUUCUGGACUGACACUGACACUGAGGUGCGAAAGCGUGGGUAGCAAACAGGAUUAGAUACCCUUGUAGUC
rnacentral:rRNA from 1 species